rnacentral:rRNA from 1 species
UACGUAGGAGGCAAGCGUUGUCCGGAAUUACUGGGCGUAAAGCGCGUGUAGGUGGUGGGACAAGUCUGCUGUGAAAGCGCCUGGCUUAACCGGCGAGGUCGGCGGAAACUGUUCGACUCGAGGACGGUAGAGGGGGUGGAAUUCCCGGUGUAGUGGUGAAAUGCGUAGAGAUCGGGAGGAACACCUGUGGCGAAGGCGGCCCCCUGGCGGCCCCUGACACUGAGACGCGAAGGCGUGGGGAGCGAACGGG